AUGUACAUGCAUACAACAUAGCGUUAAUGCAUCGGAUCCCAUUAGAACUCCGCAAUUAAGCGCACUCGGGCUAGAGUAGCACUGGGAUGGGUGACUGCCCGAGAAGUCCUAGUAUUUUUACAUG
rnacentral:rRNA from 1 species